rnacentral:rRNA from 1 species
AAUCCAUAGGUUAAUGAGGCGAACCGGGGGAACUGAAACAUCUAAGUACCCCGAGGAAAAGAAAUCAACCGAGAUUCCCCCAGUAGCGGCGAGCGAACGGGGAGGAGCCCAGAGCCUGAAUCAGCAUGUGUGUUAGUGGAAGCGUCUGGAAAGGCGCGCGAUACAGGGUGACAGCCCCGUACACAAAAGCGCAUGUGCUGUGAGCUCGAUGAGUAGGGCGGGACACGUGGUAUCCUGUCUGAAUAUGGGGGGACCAUCCUCCAAGGCUAAAUACUCCUGACUGACCGAUAGUGAACCAGUACCGUGAGGGAAAGGCGAAAAGAACCCCGGCGAGGGGAGUGAAAAAGAACCUGAAACCGUGUACGUACAAGCAGUGGGAGCACCUUCGGGUGUGACUGCGUACCUUUUGUAUAAUGGGUCAGCGACUUAUAUUCUGUAGCAAGGUUAACCG